GUGUAGGGCCCACCCUGGUCCUCCAUCUUCUCCCCAUCUUCCCAGCUUUCACUUUCUCACUGGCCUCCAAUGUGUGGAAAUCACCCCAGGGGGCAAAAGCAAAGGGAUCUCCUGGGAGGCCAGCCAGCUCUGGCUGGUGCCUGGCUGAGGGAAGGCCCAGCACAAAAGAUGGAAGCAACACGGCUCAGGUCACAGCUUUAUUUACUCAGCUUUGGUUCCAAGGAAACAAAACAGCAAAUGUUUCCCCUGGCACCCUGUAACAUUUAAGCCCUCCUACAAAGCCAAAAGGAGCCUCUGAAAAGGCCCUGAGGCCCAGGAUUCCUGGCAAAGAGAAAAAAAAAAAAAUUCAGUGUGGUUAAACAGGAACUGCGUAGAGGGUUCUGUCAAAUCUACCUUGUGAUGGCAGGUGAACAGGUUCAGUAGACGGAGGAGAGGGUGGAGAGUGGGCCAAGAGAUCAAAGGCCCACAAUUCCCCGCUCGCAGUCCUGCUCAUCUACCUUCCGAACCCAGACAAGACCUUUCACCACACUGCUGGGAGCCAGCACACCGAUUUCAUCGGCUACUCUUUUCCUGGGAAGUGUAGGAAGCAAAGCAUGGACUAGAGCCACAGAGAAACAGGUCAGCUCUGAGUGCACACGCUGUCCCGUCACGUGGGUCUCAGUCAGUGUCCACUUUUGCCUUGAGGUUGAGCCAGUGCCUCGUGUUCUCCGUUUGAUGAAUGCGGCAUCUAGUAGCCAAAAGCCCGCAGCCACUGACUUCUCCACGGGCACAGCGGAAAUGUUUGGCGUGCAUUUACGGGCCAAAGUUCUGAGUGUGAAACCUUGUCCAGGCGAUGAGGGAUUGGGAUGGCCUAAGGUCAAAGCCGGCCCUGAGAAGGAGUUUGUGCUCUGGUGAGAGAAGACACAGUAUGCGACAAUGAAGAAACUGACACACGCGUGUCUUGAGGAACAGGCUGAGUGGGCAAACCAGGAAGUGAAACUGAAUAUAAUCCCACUGUGAAAGCUGAGGGCAAGGAAAGACACUUUGGAAUUAGUUGAAGUGCUGUUAAAAUUUCAUUGAAAAGUCCAUUCCCUUGGCAACAUCAAUUUAAUCAGAGCCACACUGAGAGGGAUUUCAAGAGGGUCUCCUGUGGCCCAGUCUGGCCUGAAGCUCACGAGGUGGCCAAAGCUGACUUUGAACCUCUGACUCUCCUGCCUCCAUUUCCCACGGGCUGCUGGGAUGACAGAUUUCAGCCACCAUUCCACAUUCCAGGCACAAUCGUUUGAAGCUUCCUAAAGCUACCAGAGUGCUGUGGGAUGACGUACCCCCAGUCUUCAGAGGUGUACGGGGGUGCUGGAGGAGAUGCUCUGGGCAGGAGAACGAGGCAGCAUGGUCCUGAGCAAGGAGCUAUGUCUGAGAAGGUCUCUCUGAAUAAAUAAUGUACUGAGUA